AAAUUUGGACAAUGGGGGAAACCCUGAUACACCCAUCCCGCGCGUGUGAAGAAGAUCUUCGGAUUGUAAAGCACUUUAUGUUAGGAGGAAGGGCAGGAAGCUAAGACCUUGCUGUUUUGACGUUACCAACAGAAUAAGCACCCGCCAACUUCGUGUCAGUAGCCGCGGUAAUACGAAGGGUGCAAGCGUUAAUCGGAGUUACUGGGCGUAAAGCGUGCGUAGGUGGUUUGUUAAGUUGGAAGUGAAAGCCCCGGGCUUAACCUGGGAAUUGCUUUCAAAACUGACGAGCUAGAGUACGGUAGAGGGUAGUGGAAUUUCCUGUGUAGCGGUGAAAUGCGUAGAUAUAGGAAGGAACAUCAGUGGCGAAGGCGACUACCUGGACUGAUACUGACACUGAGGUGCGAAAGCGUGGGGAGCAAACAGG
rnacentral:rRNA from 1 species